CUGCUAUUUUGGAAUUCACUUCUCAAUUCUCUUUUUUAUGAAUAAAGCUCUAAGUCUAAGUAAAUGUUUAUUUACACAACAGCACUUUUCGCGUUAGUACCAAUCAAACACGGCCAACAGAUACAUCUGGCAGUGAAGGUGUUAAAAAUAAUUACCAAUAGCUUACUGGGGAUGAGAGACAUUAAAUGGAAAGUAAAUGAAUAAAGGGGAGGGAGUAAACACCAGCCUAAGCAUCUAAGGGAAGCUAGCCAAUAGGAUGAUAGACAGAGACAGAGUUACUGACCAAUAAGGUGAAAGAGGUGUCAUUGUAAGGUAACCUGGUCUAUACCAUAAUUCACAAGUGAGAAUGUGAAUUAAACGUUUGUUUAUGGAUUAAAAAAAAUCUGUUCACUUUUAUAUCUUAUAUUUUCCCUUUCAAUUACGCUCAAGAAUAUUAAAGUCCUCUUUAUACAUGACCCACUUUUGUUUAGCAAUGAAUUACUAUAUAGCAAAUUAUUUAAUUG